rnacentral:rRNA from 1 species
CCUUAUCAUCUUGAAUGCACCCAAUUCCAUCAUGUCUUGGAAGCUAAUCAGAAUCAAGCCUUGUUUGUAAUGGAUGGGAGACCACAGAGAAGCCUCUUGGCAUUUGAGGC